rnacentral:rRNA from 1 species
UGGGGAAUAUUGCGCUAAUGCGCGAAAGCGUGACGCAGCGACGCCGCGUGGGGGAUGAAGGCCCUCGGGUUGUAAACCCCUUUCGCCAGGGACGAAGCGAAAGUGACGGUACCUGGAGAAGAAGUCCCGGCUAACUACGUGCCAGCAGCCGCGGUAACACGUAGGGGACGAGCGUUGUCCGGAUUCAUUGGGCGUAAAGCGCGCGUAGGCGGUCGUGCAAGUCGGUCGUGAAAUCCCGGGGCUCAACCCCGGGACUGCGUCCGAUACUGCACGACUGGAGGCAGGUAGGGGAGAUCGGAAUUCCUGGUGUAGCGGUGAAAUGCGCAGAUAUCAGGAGGAACACCGGUGGCGAAGGCGGAUCUCUGGGCCUUGCCUGACGCUGAGGCGCGAAAGCUAGGGGAGCGAACAGG